rnacentral:rRNA from 1 species
UACGAGUGCUCCAAGCGUUAUCCGGAAUCAUUGGGCGUAAAGGGUGUGUAGGCGGUUUUGUUAGUCUUUUGUUAAAGCUUCGGGCUUAACCCGAAAAAUGCAAAGGAAACGGCAAACCUAGAGGAUGCGAGAGGUCUAGAGAACUCAUAGUGUAGGGGUGAAAUCCGUUGAUAUUAUGGGGGAAUACCAAAUGCGAAGGCACUAGACUGGCGCACUCCUGACGCUGAAACACGAAAGCGUGGGUAGCGAAUGGG